rnacentral:misc_RNA from 1 species
UUCAUUCAUUUAAUCAAUACUCCGACGUACAGAGACAGCGUUCGGUGGUCCUCCGGGGGCGGCGGCGGACGCUCUGCCCCCGAGGCAAAAUGGUUUAGGUCAACAAAGGGUUGGGGACGGGGGCCGGGGGCCCGCCAUCUCUGGUAAUGAUCCCUCCGCAGGUUCACCUACGGAGA